UACGGAGGAUCCAAGCGUUAUCCGGAUUUAUUGGGUUUAAAGGGUGCGUAGGCGGUCAGUUAAGUUAGAGGUGAAAUUCCGGUGCUCAACACCGGCACUGCCUCUGAUACUGGCAGACUAGAGAAUAGUUGCUGUGGGCGGAAUGUAUGGUGUAGCGGUGAAAUGCUUAGAGAUCAUACAGAACACCGAUUGCGAAGGCAGCUCACAAAGCUAUAUCUGACGCUGAGGCACGAAAGCGUGGGGAGCAAACAGG
rnacentral:rRNA from 1 species